UACGGAGGGUGCGAGCGUUGUCCGGAAUCACUGGGCGUAAAGGGCGCGUAGGCGGCAGGCCAAGCGUGCGGUGAAAGUCCGGGGCUCAACCCCGGAUCGGCCGUGCGGACUGGUUUGCUGGAGCACUGUAGAGGCGAGUGGAAUUCCGGGUGUAGCGGUGGAAUGCGUAGAGAUCGGGAGGAACACCUGUGGCGAAAGCGGCUCACUGGACCAUAACUGACGCUGAUGCGCGAAAGCUAGGGGAGCAAACGGG
rnacentral:rRNA from 1 species